rnacentral:rRNA from 1 species
UACGGGGGGGGCAAGCGUUGUUCGGAAUUACUGGGCGUAAAGGGCUCGUAGGCGGCCAACUAAGUCAGACGUGAAAUCCCCAGGCUCAACCUGGGAACUGCGUCUGAUACUGGAUGGCUUGAAUCCGGGAGAGGGAUGCAGAAUUCCAGGUGUAGCGGUGAAAUGCGUAGAUAUCUGGAGGAAUACCGGUGGCGAAGGCGGAUCUCUGGGCCUUACCUGACGCUGAGGCGCGAAAGCUAGGGGAGCAAACAGG